GAAAGAAUAGAUAAAAUUCAGAGAAUAACAAAUGGCAGCUAAAGCCCAAAGGCAUAGUUGAAGUGGCUGGAGCUCAUCUUGUUCAGUGUUUCGGGAUUUGGCGUCAUAUUCUUUUAAAUUCACUUUUGCAGCAUUAGUACAUUUUCCCUUCAGCCACGUCACUCUUGUCUUUGCUUUAGAUAGACCACUGAAGUAAAAUAAACCUGCUGCUCUCUAACACGUUUUUGUUUCUGACAACGGCAUCUUGCUUACAGACUAAAAGCAAGAGACUGGGCAAAAGGAGGGUUUUGUUACUCAUAUGACAGUGCUGUUAAUGCCAAUAUAACCUGAUAGGUUUGGAUGGGAUACAUGGGUGAACAAAGAUCAGCUGGAAUGAACUCUCUCUGUUAAGCUUCCCCCUCUGCCUCACCAUGGUUAUUUGGAGGACCUUGAGUUUUUAUCUUUAGGCUUGGGAUUGUCAGAAGGUGAAGACUUGAGGGCUGAGAUGUACUUUUUUUUUUUUCCCUUUUCUAGCUCGUUUUUCUUUCAUCUUCCACCUCAAGAUUGUUUAUCAGAAAUGCAUCUUAUUUAGGGGAAUUUUCUGGAGAUCAGGGUUAGUUUGUGGCAAGAAUUUCAUACAACAUGUCAUUCUGGUUAGAGAAGAGAUUUGGAAAUGUGGACCUUAAAAGCCCAAGAAGUAUUCUUUUUAGAUUCAUACUUACAGCUCAGUUUCACGGUUUGCUUACAUGCAUUAACUGACUAGUAUUGGAUUUUUUUCUCACCUGCUUUUUUGUAGAUCAAGACAGCAGUAUGAACAAAUACUAAAUCAAUCGCUGCUAGUCAACCUGAAAGUCAGGGUGGAUCCCUUCCUAUCUCAGCUCUCGCAGCCUCUGAAAUUAAAUGGAAGAAAACUUAGAUUUUUUUUUCCCCCCAUAAGCACAACUGGAAGGUGUCCAGUAACCACCAAUAUUCUCCUGUUUGUAUUGAAGGUCUUUGCCCUCACCAUGUCAAGGAGCGUUAAUGAUGUGUUCCCUCUCCGCUGCAUUCCCCACCUGUCAUCU
rnacentral:lncRNA from 1 species